GACAGAGGUGCCGAGCGUUAGGCGGAAUCACUGGGCUUAAAGCGUGUGUAGGCGGGCCCGUAAGUACCUUGUGAAAUCCCACCGCUCAACGGUGGAACUGCUCGGUAUACUGCGGGUCUUGAGCCACCUAGGGGCAGCCGGAACAAGCGGUGGAGCGGUGAAAUGCGUAGAUAUCGCUUGGAACGCCAACGGUGAAAACAGACUGCUGGGGGUGUGCUGACGCUGGAGACACGAAAGCCAGGGGAGCGAACGGG
rnacentral:rRNA from 1 species